rnacentral:rRNA from 1 species
UUGAGUUUGAUCAUGGCUCAGAUUGAACGCUGGCGGCAGGCCUAACACAUGCAAGUCGAGCGGAAACGAUGGAAGCUUGCUUCCAGGCGUCGAGCGGCGGACGGGUGAGUAAUGCAUAGGAAUCUGCCCGAUAGUGGGGGAUAACGUGGGGAAACCCACGCUAAUACCGCAUACGUCCUACGGGAGAAAGCAGGGGAUCUUCGGACCUUGCGCUAUCGGAUGAGCCUAUGUCGGAUUAGCUAGUUGGUGAGGUAAUGGCUCACCAAGGCGACGAUCCGUAGCUGGUCUGAGAGGAUGAUCAGCCACACUGGGACUGAGACACGGCCCAGACUCCUACGGGAGGCAGCAGUGGGGAAUAUUGGACAAUGGGGGAAACCCUGAUCCAGCCAUGCCGCGUGUGUGAAGAAGGCCUUCGGGUUGUAAAGCACUUUCAGCGAGGAAGAAGGCCUGAGGGUUAAUACCCUUCAGGAAGGACAUCACUCGC